UACGAAGGGGGCUAGCGUUGCUCGGAAUUACUGGGCGUAAAGCGCACGUAGGCGGAUCUUUAAGUCAGGGGUGAAAUCCUGGAGCUCAACUCCAGAACUGCCUUUGAUACUGAGGACCUUGAGUUCGGGAGAGGUGAGUGGAACUGCGAGUGUAGAGGUGAAAAUUCGUAGAUAUUCGCAAGAACACCAGUGGCGAAGGCGGCUCACUGGCCCGAUACUGACGCUGAGGUGCGAAAGCGUGGGGAGCAAACAGG
rnacentral:rRNA from 1 species